CCUACGGGUGGCAGCAGUGGGGAAUAUUGGGCAAUGGGCGCAAGCCUGACCCAGCAACGCCGCGUGAAGGAAGAAGGCUUUCGGGUUGUAAACUUCUUUUCUCAGGGACGAAGCAAGUGACGGUACCUGAGGAAUAAGCCACGGCUAACUACGUGCCAGCAGCCGCGGUAAUACGUAGGUGGCAAGCGUUAUCCGGAUUUACUGGGUGUAAAGGGCGUGUAGGCGGGAAAGCAAGUCAGAUGUGAAAACCAUGGGCUCAACCUGUGGCCUGCAUUUGAAACUGUUUUUCUUGAGUACUGGGGAGGCAGACGGAAUUCCUAGGGUAGCAGUGAAAUGCGUAGAUAUUAGGAGGAACACCAGUGGCGAAGGCGGUCUGCUGGACAGCAACUGACGCUGAGGCGCGAAAGCGUGGGGAGCAAACAGGAUUAGAGACCCUUGUAGUC
rnacentral:rRNA from 1 species